rnacentral:lncRNA from 1 species
UGGCCAAUGGAUUCCCAGGAAACCACCCAGGGUUCCCCGUUGGCUUCCCUUCCAUCUAAAGGCCUCCCCCAAGUUUCGGGCCAAAAAGCUGAAAUAAAGAACGAAGUCAAUAAUAAUAUGAAGUGUAUGAGAAAUAGCUGGAAAAUUCAUCAUCCAUGACUUGAAGAAAUUGACGUUUUACAAGUUAUAUUUUCGGUGAAGAGGCACUUUCAAGAUCCUUCUCUGAGACCUGCACCAAUAAGACUAUACCAAUGUUCAGUUGAAACAUCAGACACUGUUCUGGUUAUGAUGGACACCACAGUGAAAGAGACCUGGUCCCUGCCUUGAGGAAACCCAACUGCUGGUAGAGAGCUCAGAGUAAUGAUUAGGAUGCAAUAUGAGGGAUGCAGUAAUUGGGAUCUACUUCUGGGAACCGUCACAGCCUGAGAAAGAUGGCAUGCCCUGAAUGGAAUUCACAGAGAAUUAUUUUAAGUCAUGCUACUGGCCCCGCCCAGUUAUGUAACAACUUGCAUUUCCUCAAUUCUCUGGAAUGUGGCCAGUCAGGAACUUCCACAUUUGGUUUUUUUUUUUUCCCCCAUUUGUGGGUAAGAAAGUAAAAGAGGCAGGAAAACUGAAUUGAGAAAGAAGAAAGAAUAGGGGAAGAGAGAAAGAAAAAAGAAAACCAUGAAGCCUGGAAGAGGAGAAAGAAGAGAUAGAUGAGCAAAGAAGCACAUUGCCUGGUGGUAGUAAUAGUUGUCAGACACCCAUCUAUUAUAAUCUGUUUUCCAUGGGAGAUUUUAAGAAGAGGCUAGAUCCCCAGUCUGUCUUAAAAUCAAGAAAAGGGACUCUGUUGCCUCUAAAGUAUACUUCCAGACUCAGCAAUCUCUAAAUUCUGAGUGGGGCAUCCCUAGUUUUGCUGCCUAAAAUCUAUGACAGUUGGAAAUGAUUCCAUUUAAGAUCCAGUUCAAGAAGCUAUACACCCUGAGGAACUUUAUAUUGCCAUUUAGAGGACCGAUAUUCUCCAGAUUGCUUGAGCCCAGGAGUUUGAGACCAGCCUGGGCAACAUGGCAAAACUCCAUCUCUACCAAAAAAAAAAAAAAAACAAAA